rnacentral:rRNA from 1 species
AUUGAACGCUGGCGGCAGGCCUAACACAUGCAAGUCGAACGAGUGGCGGACGGGUGAGUAAUGUCUGGGAAACUGCCUGAUGGAGGGGGAUAACUACUGGAAACGGUAGCUAAUACCGCAUACCCUCAGAAGUGCCCAGGUGGGAUUAGCUUGUUGGGGGGGUAACGGCUAACCAAGGCGACGAUCCCUCGCUGGCCUGAGAGGAUGAACGGCCAAACGGGAACUGAGCAACGGGCAAGAUGCUGAGGGGAGGAAGCAGUGGGGAAGAUUGCAAAAUGGGGGCAAUCCUGAGACAGCAAUGCCGGGGGGAUGAAGAAGGCCUUCGGUUUGUAAAGUACUUUCAGCGGGGAGGCGGUACCCGCAGAAGAAGCACCGGCUAACUCCGUGCCAGCAGCCGCGGUAAUUC